rnacentral:piRNA from 1 species
UCUACUUCCCGAAGCUCCUCAAGGAGGGUU